GUAGCUGAAUGACUGAAAAAGGAAUUCCUGAUGUCUGCAAUGAAGCUAGUAAAACUCUCUACUGCACUACAUCCUUUUCGGAAACCAAACUGUUGUUGAGGAGGCAUUAGUGGUGCAAACUUAUCUAAGAAAGAAGGAAUCCAUUCAUCAUUUUUAGAACGACUUUGAGAUGUAAUACGUUUAAAUCUACGGAUAAAAUUCCAUAUAAUACCAACUGGCGUGUAUCUAUUGAAGGAGUGACAAAGAUUU